rnacentral:rRNA from 1 species
CCGAGACUUAGCAGAGAUGCUUUGGUGCCUUCGGGACUCUGAGACAGGUGCUGCAUGGCUGUCGUCAGCUCGUGUUGUGAAAUGUUGGGUUAAGUCCCGCAACGAGCGCAACCCUUAUCCUUUGUUGCCAGCGGUCCGGCCGGGAACUCAAAGGAGACUGCCAGUGAUAAACUGGAGGAAGGUGGGGAUGACGUCAAGUCAUCAUGGCCCUUACGAGUAGGGCUACACACGUGCUACAAUGGCGCAUACAAAGAGAAGCGACCUCGCGAGAGCAAGCGGACCUCAUAAAGUGCGUCGUAGUCCGGAUUGGAGUCUGCAACUCGACUCCAUGAAGUCGGAAUCGCUAGUAAUCGUGGAUCAGAAUGCCACGGUGAAUACGUUCCCGGGUCUUGUUACACACCGA